AUCCAGCUGUCGAGUUCCAAAUAGGGCGAGACACGUGUCUUGGAU
rnacentral:hammerhead_ribozyme from 1 species